rnacentral:ncRNA from 1 species
CUCAUCAAGAGUUGGUGGAGGGACAGGCCCGAUGAAACCGCGGCAACCAUUUGAGUUACUCAAAACGGUGCCAAUUCCGGCGGCGGAGCCGCAAGAU